GUCAUUAUGGAGGAAAGGGUUAAGUACUGAAUGGUCAAAACAUCAUGUUUUUUUAUCGACAUAAAUUUUGUCAUAAAUGUAACCAAAUGAUGUAGAAAUUGUGUUUUUUCUUCAAAUUUCCAUCAAAUUGUAAUGUUUAUAGUUCCAUUAUUGCCUCUCUAUUUGAAUAAAAUAAAAUAAUAAGAAGAAUCUGUUUCUUGUUUUGUUUUGUUUUUGACAAAUGAUUGUUCACUGCUUGCAAAUGAAUCAUUAUAUUUAUAUAUCUUAUCUGUAUAUAUUUUUGUUCAUGUCUUCAUCUCCUUAUCAUUUGUAAAUGUAUAGACAAAUAAGAAAGAAAUAAGCUCCACAUGUAUAUUUGCAACAUCGUAAAUUAAUUAAAAAA
rnacentral:lncRNA from 1 species